UCGAGAGUUUGAUCCUGGCUCAGAUUGAACGCUGGCGGAAUGCUUUACACAUGCAAGUCGAACGGUAGAGGGGGCAACCCCUUGAGAGUGGCGAACGGGUGAGUAAUAUAUCGGAACGUGCCCAGUCGUGGGGGAUAACGUAGCGAAAGUUACGCUAAUACCGCAUACGAUCUAAGGAUGAAAGCGGGGGAUCGCAAGAGCCUCGCGCGAUUGGAGCGGCCGAUAUCAGAUUAGGUAGUUGGUGGGGUAAAGGCUCACCAAGUCAACGAUCUGUAGCUGGUCUGAGAGGACGACCAGCCACACUGGAACUGAGACACGGCCCAGACUCCGUAC
rnacentral:rRNA from 1 species